rnacentral:rRNA from 1 species
AUACGGAGGGUCCAAGCGUUAUCCGGAUGCAUUGGGUUUAAAGGGUCCGCAGGCGGGAAAAUAAGUCAGUGGUGAAAGCCUACAGCUCAACUGUAGAACUGCCAUUGAUACUGUUUUUCUUGAGUAUAGAUGAAGUGGGCGGAAUAUAUCAUGUAGCGGUGAAAUGCAUAGAUAUGAUAUAGAACACCGAUUGCGAAGGCAGCUCACUAAACUAUUACUGACGCUCAGGGACGAAAGCGUGGGGAGCGAACAGAAUUAGAUACCCUAGUAGUCC